UAGGGAUGAAGAUGAAUUGUUGAAUACUCAGUGUCCUCAACAUUUAGAGCUGAGAUGGCAGACAGAAGCUAGUUCUAGUGUAUAUGCUACCCCCUUGAUUGCUGAUAUAAACAGGAUAUGAAGCUCCAAAUCUGAGGAAACUUGCAGACAAAGUGGUAGCCGAGGGAUUUCUAGUAGUGGUUCCUGAUUUCUUCUAUUGUGAACCUUUUGAUCUUAAUAACCCUAAUAUGGACCGGGAAUCAUGGAAAAAGGCUCAUGGCGUG